ensembl:snRNA U6 U6 spliceosomal RNA
UUGCUUACUUUGGCAGCACUUACAUUAAAAUUGGAAUGAUACAGAGAAAUUUAGCAUAGCCCCUGCACAAAGAUAACAUGCAAAUUCAUGAAGCAUUCCAUAUUUAA